ACGACCUUACUUGAACAGGAUCUGUUCUAUAGGCUCGUACCUCUAUAUCCUUGAGUUCUAAGGAGACAGGAACCUAAAAUAAAAAUAUUUUAUAUGUUAUUU
rfam:Cajanus cajan CcLG01_908, whole genome shotgun sequence.